UACGUAGGGGGCAAGCGUUGUCCGGAAUCAUUGGGCGUAAAGAGCGUGUAGGCGGCCCGGUAAGUCCGCUGUGAAAGUCCAGGGCUCAACCCUGGGAUGCGGGUGGAUACUGCCGGGCUCGAGUCCGGAAGAGGCGAGUGGAAUUCCCGGUGUAGCGGUGAAAUGCGCAGAUAUCGGGAGGAACACCAAUGGCGAAGGCAGCUCGCUGGGACGUGACUGACGCUGAGACGCGAAAGCGUGGGGAGCAAACAGG
rnacentral:rRNA from 1 species